AACCCAAUCUGUUUUAUCUCUCCGGUGAUUCGUGUGUCAUUUUUUCUAGGCAUUUUGGUUUUUAUUUUUGUAGGUCUAGCUGAAAUGGCUAAAAAGGCAGCUCAUGUUGGUGCUUCUGAGUUAUCCGCGGAGCCUUCUUUUACCGUGUGUUGAUUAAUUGUCAAAGUAACCGUUGUUGAUGAUGUAAUCAGUUCCUCAUUUUCCUUUGUAUAAAAAUUCCAUGUUUAGUUUUUACUUAAUAUCUUUUAGUCAUAAUUGUUGCUCUCUUUAGCUAAAUCUUUUAGUCAUAAAUUUUAAGCUGACUAGUUACUUUGAUAGUAUUUUGCUGAUGAUGCUAAGUAACCAGUUACUCUUUGAUGUUCAUUGUUUUUCUUUGUAUAUUUUUUUUUCUUUUAUGAAGUUGUUUAGGUUCUAAGGUAUCUGCUUACCUUUCUAAGGUCACUACUAGUUACCUUAGUUGUGCAUGAUUUUUUAAUUAUAUUUUUUAUUUGUAAUUUUAUUUUCUGUUUUGGUGGUGGUUUAUAUUUUUCAUCGGAAAUGUUUGAUGCUUCUUGGGGCGGUUUGCGGGAUUAAUUGAUUGGAUACCCGAGAACCAUAAUCUUGUUUUGGAAUCAAGGUUUCAAUGGAACAAACUGAUUGUGAUUGGGUCAUCUUUGUUGCCCUGUUUGUUGAGCAACUACUUCUCGGCAAGGAAAAACAGAUGCCCCAAAAGUUGAUAAAGUUCUCAUUCGUAAAAGUAUUGUUGUCGGUUUGUAUUAUCAUGGAAAGAAGAGAGAACUAGAGGGUUAUGUGACGAGUUCGAGGAGCAGUUGUUGAAUUGGAAAUGAGAAGGAAUAAAAGAAAAGUUGUAGCUAGAUAGACUUUACUAACUUUCUGUUUUUUUUUUCUUUUUGAGUAUUCGGGUAAACUAGUUAUUAAUUGAUAAACAAUGGCUACUUGCAUUUUUCUUUG